GGUGCGAGGGCAUAUAGUCCUCGCUUUUCUCAACCGUAGGGAGGUUGAGGAACAAGUGCUGGGCAAGACCGGUGCCAGCCGCCGCGGUAAUACCGGCAGCACAAGUGAUGACCGCUGUUAUUGGGCCUAAAGCGUCCGUAGCUGGCCAGACAAGUUCAUCGGGAAAUCUGCGCGCCUAACGCGCAGGCGUCCGGUGGAAACUGCCUGGCUUGGGACCGGAAGACCAGAGGGGUACGUCUGGGGUAGGAGUGAAAUCCCGUAAUCCUGGACGGACCACCGGUGGCGAAAGCGCCUCUGGAAGACGGAUCCGACGGUGAGGGACGAAAGCUCGGGUCACGAACCGGAUUAGAUACCCGGGUAGUCCGAGCUGUAAACGAUGUCUGCUAGGUGUGACACAGGCUACGAGCCUGUGUUGUGCCGUAGGGAAGCCGUGAAGCAGACCGCCUGGGAAGUACGUCCGCAAGGAUGAAACUUAAAGGAAUUGGCGGGGGAGCACAA
rnacentral:rRNA from 1 species